UACGUAGGGUGCGAGCGUUAAUCGGAAUUACUGGGCGUAAAGCGUGCGCAGGCGGCUUUGCAAGACAGAUGUGAAAUCCCCCGGGCUCAACCUGGGAACUGCAUUUGUGACUGCAAGGCUAGAGUACGGCAGAGGGGGAUGGAAUUCCGCGUGUAGCAGUGAAAUGCGUAGAUAUGCGGAGGAACACCGAUGGCGAAGGCAAUCCCCUGGGCCUGUACUGACGCUCAUGCACGAAAGCGUGGGGAGCAAACAGG
rnacentral:rRNA from 1 species